rnacentral:rRNA from 1 species
GGAGUUAGCCGGUGCUUCUUCUGCGAGUAACGUCACAGAUGUAAGGUAUUAACUUACACCCUUUCCUCCUCGCUGAAAGUGCUUUACAACCCGAAGGCCUUCUUCACACACGCGGCAUGGCUGCAUCAGGGUUUCCCCCAUUGUGCAAUAUUCCCCACUGCUGCCUCCCGUAGGAGUCUGGGCCGUGUCUCAGUCCCAGUGUGGCUGAUCAUCCUCUCAGACCAGCUAGGGAUCGUCGCCUAGGUGAGCCUUUACCUCACCUACUAGCUAAUCCCACCUGGGCUUAUCCAUCAGCGCAAGGCCCGAAGGUCCCCUGCUUUCCCCCGUAGGGCGUAUGCGGUAUUAGCAGUCGUUUCCAACUGUUAUCCCCCACAAAUGGGCAAAUUCCCAGGCAUUACUCACCCGUCCGCCGCUCGUCAUCUUCAAAAGCAAGCUUUUGAAAUGUUACCGCUCGACUUGCAUGUGUUAGGCCUGCCGCCAGCGUUCAAUCUGAGCCAUAAUCAAACUACUGA